UACAGAGGUCCCAAGCGUUGUUCGGAUUCACUGGGCGUAAAGGGUGCGUAGGUGGUGAGGUAAGUCGGAUGUGAAAUCUCUGAGCUCAACUCGGAAACUGCAUUGGAAACUACCUUGCUCGAGGGUUGGAGGGGGGACUGGAAUGCUUGGUGUAGCAGUGAAAUGCGUAGAUAUCAAGCGGAACACCAGUGGCGAAGGCGAGUCCCUGGACAACUCCUGACACUGAUGCACGAAAGCUAGGGGAGCAAACAGG
rnacentral:rRNA from 1 species